AGGGUCCAAUAUCCCUGAUCUCUUUUUCAGUUCAUUAUUUCUGGACUUCUGACGGUUGCAGCAGCAAGUACUCCAGUCAUGAGUUUAAUGAAGUUCUCUUUUGCCUUGAACAUUAUCAGUUCUCUUUGGGGAGCAGUUGCAUUUUGUCUCAGUAUAAUACUUACUGCCAGUUCAUUCAACCCACCCCCUUUGGAAAAGACAAUCAAAGGGAUAGAAGCAUUGAUUAUAAUUUUCCAUGUCUUGGAGCUGGUUGUCAGUGGAUUGACAUGGCGUUUUGAAAGCAAGGCUUUGUUCCGUGACUCUUUCAAUGUCCUGCCUGUGAUUUACCUGGAACAGGACGCUUGAAUGUACUGCAGGACCCAAAGCAACUGAAGCAACAGUGUGUGUGUGUGUGUGUGUGUCUGUUCAUCAGAAUAUAUUUUAAAAAUAAAUCCACAACAACUGACAUUUUUCCUUCCAUUGUAAAAAGAGUAAUUAACUUUAAAAACAAAACAAACACACUUAAAAUAUAAUCAUCAGAUUCCCUUAUUGCUUUUAGGACCCCUCCUGUGCCAAGCAUCUUUUACAGCUUCAAUUAAAAAUAAAAAUUACCAUGUGUCAGAGUAUCGGUUGUAAUGAAGCUCUGGCUGUAGCAUAGUCUACCUACUUAAUAGGUAAUAUUUGUAAGGAUAAUUUUCAUACCUCCACCCAAUUAGUGGGUAGUUACCAGACUUAGUUAUUGGUUAUUCCAAUUGUGCCGUGUAACUUUUAUUGCAUUAUUACAGCUUUACAUGGUAAAGCCCGUUUUGUAUAUAACUUGGCUCCUAUGUAGAUAUCUU